UACAGAGGUCCCGAGCGUUGUUCGGAUUCACUGGGCGUAAAGGGUGCGUAGGUGGUUGUGCAAGUCUGAUGUGAAAUCUCCGGGCUUAACCCGGAAAUGGCAUUGGAAACUGCAUGGCUAGAGGGUUGGAGGGGGGACUGGAAUACUUGGUGUAGCAGUGAAAUGCGUAGAUAUCAAGAGGAACACCUGAGGCGAAGGCGGGUUGCUAGGCUGACACUGACGCUGAAGCGCGAAAGCUAGGGGAGCAAACGGG
rnacentral:rRNA from 1 species